rnacentral:rRNA from 1 species
UACGAAGGGGGCUAGCGUUGUUCGGAUUCAUUGGGCGUAAAGGGUGCGUAGGUGGCGUCGUAAGUCGGGUGUGAAAUCUCGGGGCUUAACUCCGAAACUGCAUUCGAUACUGCCGGUGCUUGAGGACUGGAGAGGAGACUGGAAUUUACGGUGUAGCGGUGAAAUGCGUAGAUAUCGUAAGGAAGACCAGUGGCGAAGGCGGGUCUCUGGACAGUUCCUGACGCUGAGGCACGAAGGCCAGGGGAGCAAACGGG